rnacentral:lncRNA from 1 species
GCAGGAUGACUGCUUGAGGCCAGGAGUUCGAGAUCAGCCUGGACAACAUAACAUAGGGAAGCCCCAUCUCUACUGAAGGUCAGGACCGCAGCGCCAGCCCGCCGCGGUCACGUGACGCCGCCGGGAGGCGCAGCGCGGCUGAUUCAUCCCAGGCCAGGCGAGUGGAAAAGUACCAGCCGCGCGCGAGGGUUUCUAAUCAUUUCUUAAUCUUCAUCUCAAAAAGAAUCUCACUACCAUUAAAAAAGUCAAAAGGCAUUCUUCAGACUAAAUUGGUGUCUCUUUUGCUUUGUUGCUUUUUCUUCCUUUCUUAAAAUCUUCUGGAAUGACUGAAACCU